GACGAACGCUGGCGGCGCGCUUAACACAUGCAAGUCGGACGGAAAGGCCUGCUUUCCCUUGUGGAUUGCGGGUACUCGAGUGGCGAACGGGUGAGUAACACGUGAGUGAUCUGCCCCCAACUUGGGUAUAAGCCUGGGAAACUGGGUCUAAUUCCCGAUAGGACUGCAGGGUGGUGCCUGUGGUGGAAAACGAGUUUCUAGUGGUUGGGGAUGAGCUCGCGGCCUAUCAGCUUGUUGGUGGGGUAAUGGCCUACCAAGGCGGCGACGGGUAGCCGGCCUGAGAGGGUGGACGGCCACAUUGGGACUGAGCUACGGCCCAGACUCCUACGGGAGGCAGCAGUGGGGAAUAUUGCACAAUGGGCGGAAGCCUGAUGCAGCGACGCCGCGUGGGGGAUGACGGCCUUCGGGUUGUAAACUCCUUUCGACCGCGAGGAAGCCACCUGGUUGGAAGGGUGGUGACGGUAGUGGUAGAAGAAGCACCGGCUAACUACGUG
rnacentral:rRNA from 1 species